rnacentral:rRNA from 1 species
CCUACGGGGGGCUGCAGUGAGGAAUAUUGGUCAAUGGUCGUGAGACUGAACCAGCCAAGCCGCGUGAGGGAGGAAGGUACAGAGUAUCGUAAACCUCUUUUGUCAGGGAACAAAGGCGUGGACGUGUCGCUGGAUGAGUGUACCUGAAGAAAAAGCAUCGGCUAAGUCCGUGCCAGCAGCCGCGGUAAUACGGAGGGUGCGAGCGUUAUCCGGAUUUAUUGGGUUUAAAGGGUGCGCAGGCGGUCUUUUAAGUCAGCGGUAAAAGUCUGGGGCUCAACCCGGGCGCGCCGUUGAAACUGGGAGCCUUGAGUUGGAGAGAGGUAGGCGGAAUGCGAGGUGUAGCGGUGAAAUGCAUAGAUAUCGCGAAGAACUCCGAUUGCGAAGGCAGCAUGCCGGCUCCACACUGACGCUGAGGCACGAAAGCGUGGGUAUCGAACAGGAUUAGAUACCCUAGUAGUC